GCGGACGGGUGCGUAACGCGUAAACAACCUGCCUUCAAGCGGAGGAUAACCACGGGAAACUGUGGCUAAUACUGCAUAACGUCCAGAGGCCGCAUGGCCCCUGGAUCAAAGCCUUCGGGCGCUUGAAGAUGGGUUUGCGUCGGAUUAGCUCGUUGGUGAGGUAACGGCUCACCAAGGCAACGAUCCGUAGCUGGUCUGAGAGGAUGAUCAGUCACACUGGCACUGAGACACGGGCCAGACUCCUACGGGAGGCAGCAGUGGGGAAUCUUAGGCAAUGGGGGAAACCCUGACCUAGCCAUGCCGCGUGGAGGAAGACACCCCUAUGGGGCGUAAACUCCUUUUCUGUCGGAAGAAAACCCUGUUUUUCAGGGCGUGACGGUACGACAGGAAUAAGCACCGGCUAACUCCGUGCCAGCAGCCGCGGUAAUACGGAGGGUGCAAGCGUUAUCCGGAAUCAUUGGGUUUAAAGGGUCCGUAGGUGGACUGAUAAGUCAGUGGUGAAAGUCUGCAGCUCAACUGUAGAAUUGCCAUUGAAAC
rnacentral:rRNA from 1 species